GCAAUUUUUUGUAUUUUAUGUUGAUUAAUUAAAAGGGAAUUAGGUGAAAUUCCUGAACUAUCCCGUAGCUGUAUUAGAGGAGUUUAAGUAUAUUGUGUGUCACUUGGAAACAGGGAAGGCGUACUUAAAUGACGAUUCUUAAGUCAGAAGACCUGCCUAUAUUUUGCACUAUAA
rnacentral:ncRNA from 1 species